CGUAAGAUUGUAAACUCCUGUUAGAGGGAAGAAUAAUCCCGAUCGAAUCGGGACUUGACUGUACCCUCAGAGAAAGCCCCGGCUAACUACGUGCCAGCAGCCGCGGUAAUACGUAGGGGGCUAGCGUUGUCCGGAUUUACUGGGUGUAAAGGGCGCGCAGGCGGAUUAGUAAGUCAGAGGUGAAAUCCUACGGCCUAACCGUAGAACUGCCUUUGAAACUAUUAAUCUUGAGUUCGGAAGAGAGAGACGGAAUUCCAGGUGUAGUGGUGAAAUACGUAGAUAUCUGGAAGAACACCAGUUGCGAAGGCGGUCUCUUGGUCCGAUACUGACGCUCAGGCGCGAAAGCGUGGGUAGCAAACAGGAUUAGAUACCCUGGUAGUCCACGCUGUAAACGAUGAAUACUAGGUGCAGGUUCCUAUGGGAUCAGUGCCGCAGCUAACGCAUUAAGUAUUCCACCUGGGGAGUACGAUCGCAAGGUUG
rnacentral:rRNA from 1 species